rnacentral:rRNA from 1 species
AGUGGACGCUGGCGGUAGGCCUAACACAUGCGAGUCGAACGGCAGCACAGUAAGAGCUUGCUCUUACGGGUGGCGAGUGGCGGACGGGUGAGGAAUACAUCGGAAUCUACUUUUUCGUGGGGGAUAACGUAGGGAAACUUACGCUAAUACCGCAUACGACCUACGGGUGAAAGCAGGGGAUCUUCGGACCUUGCGCGAUUGAAUGAGCCGAUGUCGGAUUAGCUAGUUGGCGGGGUAAAGGCCCACCAAGGCGACGAUCCGUAGCUGGUCUGAGAGGAUGAUCAGCCACACUGGAACUGAGACACGGUCCAGACUCCUACGGGAGGCAGCAGUGGGGAAUAUUGGACAAUGGGCGCAAGCCUGAUCCAGCCAUACCGCGUGGGUGAAGAAGGCCUUCGGGUUGUAAAGCCCUUUUGUUGGGAAAGAAAAGCAGCAGGUUAAUACCCCGCUGUUCUGACGGUACCCAAAGAAUAAGCACCGGCUAACUUCGUG